rnacentral:rRNA from 1 species
UACGAAGGGGGCUAGCGUUGUUCGGAAUUACUGGGCGUAAAGCGCGCGCAGGCGGUCCUUUAAGUCGGGGGUGAAAGCCCAGAGCUCAACUCUGGAACUGCCUUCGAAACUAGAGGACUUGGGUACGGGAGAGGUGAGUGGAAUUCCGAGUGUAGAGGUGAAAUUCGUAGAUAUCAGGAGGAAUACCGGUGGCGAAAGCGACUCUCUGGACGGCAACUGACGCUGAGGCACGAAAGCGUGGGGAGCAAACAGG